rnacentral:rRNA from 1 species
UACGUAGGGUGCGAGCGUUGUCCGGAAUUAUUGGGCGUAAAGAGCUCGUAGGCGGUCUGUCGCGUCGGUCGUGAAAACUUGGGGCUUAACCCUGAGCUUGCGGUCGAUACGGGCAUGACUGGAGUUCGGUAGGGGAGACUGGAAUUCCUGGUGUAGCGGUGGAAUGCGCAGAUAUCAGGAGGAACACCAAUGGCGAAGGCAGAUCUCUGGGCCGUAACUGACGCUGAGGAGCGAAAGCGUGGGGAGCAAACAGG